CAAUAGCGUAUAUUAAAGUUGUUGCGGUAAAAAAGCUCGUAGUUGGAUUUCUACCGAAGAUAGCCGGUCGGGUCUUCGACCUUGUAUCUGGUUUUGUCUUUGGUAUCCUCAUAGGGAACGUUUCUGCGCUUUAUUGCGUGGUGCGGUAUCUAUGACUUUUACUUUGAGGAAAUUAGAGUGUUCACGGCAGGCAAACGCCUUGAAUAUAUUAGCAUGGAAUAAUAACAUAGGAUCUUCGUCCUAUUUUGUUGGUUUCUAGGGCUAAGAUAAUGAUUAAUAGGGAUAAUUGGGGGCAUCUGUAUCAACGCGUCAGAGGUGGAAUUCUUGGAUUGCGUUGCGACAAACUACUGCGAAAGCAUUUGCCAAGGAUGUUUUCAUGGA
rnacentral:rRNA from 1 species